rnacentral:rRNA from 1 species
UACGGGGGGGGCAAGCGUUGUUCGGAAUUACUGGGCGUAAAGGGCUCGUAGGCGGCCAACUAAGUCAGACGUGAAAUCCCUCGGCUUAACCGGGGAACUGCGUCUGAUACUGGAUGGCUUGAAUCCGGGAGAGGGAUGCGGAAUUCCAGGUGUAGCGGUGAAAUGCGUAGAUAUCGAGAGGAACACCUGCGGCGAAGGCGGGUUGCUGGGCUGACACUGACGCUGAGGCGCGAAAGCCAGGGGAGCGAACGGG